rnacentral:lncRNA from 1 species
GAUGGACUUGACGCCGAUGAAAUACGCGAUGGAGAGAUUGCCGAUCACUUGGUCGCCAAAGCCUUUCCAUGGAUUUCUGAGCAAGGGCGUGGUCCACAUUGAUUCCGAGAUCCGUCGGAAAGGUCCUCUGUAGACCUCCUGGCCGGCGAUCAUGUACCCGUUGCCGCCCGAAGGCGGGAUGCAGAGGGCCAGCUUGUUGCGGAUUUUGAAAGCGGAUGAAAGCUGCGACUGGAGCGAAAGCCUAGUUCGGCCUAGGGCGAGGAGGCCCGCCGUGGGGGUUGCGAGGCCUUGGCUUAAGAUGGGGUCCGAGUAUUGGAAGGGGAAAUUUAGCUUAUAUUGGGUGCCGCGUGUCGACAAGGCCAGCAUGACGUCCGUGCUUAGGCCGCUGUAGCCAUUGGUGCCGGUGAAGGGGUUGAGGGCCCAGUCGGCGCAUGUGUUGUUGGAGCAUCCCGGCGCCGCUGCCGAGAAGCAGAAGACACAACCGACUCCAUUGGCAAUGCGGCACUGGUUGGUGCCGCAGAGGAUGGGGCGGUAGGUGUUGGCGGCGGAGAAGUAGUCGAGGGAGUUGAACCAUAGGAAAUUGCCACCGAGAUCGAUCCCCACGUUGAGUGUGGUGGCGUUGGAGCCUAGUUGGAUAGUUGUGUAGUAUUGGUUGGUUGUGCCAUCUUUUCUUAUUGGGAAAUGAAGGCUUUAGGGGAUGUUAGAGCAUUUGAAAACAAGGAUGAAAGGAGCAACGAGGAAAUUAUCAAGACCGGAACACUAGGGGAAGCCAUCAUGGUUGUAUUGUGGGUGAAGCUCUUGGAAUGGAUGCAUGUUUAUUUAUUAAGUUUUGGAAUAGGAUGCCAGCUAAUCAGCAUUAUAUUUCAAAUCAUAUUGUCAGGUUGGUCCCCAGCUGAAUCCGUUGUUUAUUUCUCCACUUACGUAUAUUUAAGUAAUACAAUGAAUAGUGAUAGUUCUUUUGCAUUCUGUAUGCUUUCAAUGAAAUUAUGAAACACUAACCAAUUAUAACCAAGAACGCACUACAAUAUUAAUACAUUUGUGCUUAUCAUCACAAUCCCACAAACCGAUCAUAAACACACAACCCCACACAUAGAGUCCAACCUAGGCAGCUCCAAACCGGUUGCANAAGAAAGAAAACAGAACCCCCUUGAAACAGACGAGAACAAACACCGCAGUUAAGACAAACACACGCACUGCUAAUUAAGGGCAUAAUACAGGACAAGAAGGUCAGAAACAUUGAAUUCGGAGGGCGUAAUUUCACCAUGAUUUCUCGAAUUGCGGUGGGAGAGACGCCGUCACCGUCCUUGGACUGCUUGAACUUCUUGAUGGCUAUGGAUUUGGAACGGUUGGACUUUAUCUUGGCCAAGAAAACAAGGCCAUAGGUUCCUUCCCCGAUUUUGCCGAUCACGUCGUACUGCUCCAGCCACUCCGGCUUGCUACUGCUGUUGCUUCCCGAAUUGCUCACUCUUCCGUCCCCCAUAUACGCGAUUCAAUUACUUUUUUUCUUAUUGUGUUGCGGUAUGUGAUGGUUAUGUUUCAGCACCUGAAAUUGAAACUGAAAUUUUUGGGGAAAACCAUCUCCGAUCCAAGCUUUGGCAAUGGCCGGGAAAGAAGAGUAUUUACGUCUAUUUAUACAAUUGAAACCGCUGUAUGUCGCGUUCGCGUUUCUAUCCGCAUCACUUCCUUAGUCGCAAUUCAGAUUUUUAGUCUCAUGUGUUUACUCACAAACUUCAAAUCAUACUUAAUACUUACUACGUGCUAAUGUGUAAAAAAUAAAAAUGCCCAAUCUAGUAAUGGAGCUGGUUUGGUGGAUGACUGAUGAGAUACAUAAAAUUAAUAAGAUUCGAGGAUGCUUGAAUAAUUUAUCAAACUUUGAGGUGAACAAGAUGGCCUAGCACUUGAACAAGUACAAACGAUUCUACCAAGAGGGCAUGACAAGAACCGAGUCCAUGGUAAUAGAAAAAUGGAUCGUACUAAAAAACAAUUAAUCUUUUAAGUUCCAGAUAAGAUAAUAUUCAAUAGCAAGUUACAAUCUUUUAAGCUCAAGAUAAUGAUACUUAAAAGAUAAUCAAUACUAUAACAUUUCAAGUUUCAUACAAGAUGAUGCUAAGAAGUUCGAUAUUCAAGAGUCAAAUAUUAUCUUCCGAGCUCUAGAUGAUAAUUUGGUCUUACAAGGUUUAGAUGAGAUGAUGCUCAAAUUGUCAGAUGUGAUCUUAAAUUAAUUCGUAUUUGCCAAUUUGUAAAAAAGUUGUACAAAAUUAAUAAAAUAUUGUCUACAUACGAUUAACAAUAGAUGCGGUACAUCAAUCCCUCCAUCAUAUUUUCCAUAGAAUUUAUAUAUUUUUUCUUAUUAUUUUUAAUCUAAAAUCUUCAAUCUCACAUUUAUCUUUUUUUUAAACUUCAUCAAAUAAAAGUUUAUAUGAAAUGAUACUUUUAUUAUUUCAACUAAACUUUGAGAUUUAAUUAGCAAAAAUAACCGUGUGACAUCAAAUUAAAAUAAUAAUUUAUAUACAAAUAACUUUAUUAUAUAAAGUAAUUUAAAUUAGGACACAAAGUCUGACGGGUUACACGAGUUAUGAAAUAGUAGUAACAUUUAUUAUACUAAUUGGUAGCACCAACAUCUUCAUCCUAUAUAGGGAUCCAAGGCCGCAGCUCCGAAUUCCUUGCAGCUCGUACCAUGCAACAGCAGCGACGAGCUAAACCCUAGCUUCGAGGCAGGCACAUCAAACUCCAGCAGAUGAUUCUCCAGCUGAUAGCCCGCCACAACUAUCGACGUCGUAGGCCCUGUUGUAUUCGGCUCCCCCUCCACGAACGCCAGGCACAUCACGCCCUUCCCAACUCUCACCAUCGAGUUCCACCCAUAAAACCGCCAGUACACCUUCUUCCUCUGCAGAAUCAGAUCCACAGUCGGCACGUCGCCUCCACUCUUGAUCGUCUUCGAAUCGAAGCAAGCCCCGAACGGAGCCACGGACGCCACUCUCUUCAUCCCCUUGCCUGCAGCGGCCUUCACGAACUCCUCCACCAGGGCUGCGUAGAUCGAUCCGUGCAGGCUCGUAUACGCCCUCGCCGUUCGUAAGCUCGUGCCUCCUUCUCCGGUCACCUUGUCGAUCGACAGCAGAGUUUUAUUCAAGGCGAGAGACGUUCCGCCAACUCUGAUGGACUUGACGCCGAUGAAAUACGUGUUGGAGAGAUUGCCGAUCACUUCGUCGCCAAAGCCUUUCCAUGGAUUUCUGAGCAAGGGCGUGGUCCACAUUGAUUCCGAGAUCCGUCGGAAAGGUUCUCUGUAAACCUCCUGGCCGGCGAUCAUGUACCCGUUGCCGCCCGAAGGCGGGAUGCAGAGGGCCAGCUUGUUGCGGAUUUUGAAAGCGGAUGAAAGCUGUGAUUGGAGCGAAAGCCUAGUUCGGCCUAGGGCGAGGAGGCCCGCCGUGAGGGUUGCGAGGCCUUGGCUUAAGAUGGGGUCCGAGUAUUGGAAGGGGAAAUUUAGCUUAUAUUGGGUGCCGCGUGUCGACAAGGCCAGCAUGACGUCCGUGCUUAGGCCGCUGUAGCCAGUGGUGCCAGUGAAGGGGUUGAGGGCCCAGUCGGCGCAUGUGUUGUUGGAGCAUCCGGGGACCGGAGGCAAGAAGCAGAAGACACAGCCGAUUGUGUCAGCAAUCUGGCACUGUUUGGUGCCGCAGAGGAUGGGGCGGUAGGAGUCGGCGGCGGAGAAGUAAUCGAGGGAGUUGAACCAUAGGAAAUUGCCGCCGAGAUCGAUCCCCACGUUCAGUGUGGUGGCGUUGGAGCCUAUUUGGAUAGUCGUGUAGUAUUGGUUGGUUGUGCCAUCUUUUCUGAUUGGGAAAAUGAAGGCUUUAGGGGAUGUUAGAGCAUUUGAAAACAAGGAUGAAAGGAGCAACGAGGAAAUCAUCAAGAUCGGAACACUAGGGGAAGCCAUUAUGGUUG